GCGCUCGCUCACAGUGCACAGACAAACUGUCAACACCAUAGUGCCGCGAGCAGACUUCGGUGUGCAGGCGGAGGAAAAACUACCGGUCACCGAGGUGUGGGGACAGAGCCAGAAAUGAAUCCCAGAAAUUAAGAUGAGAACCCAAGACAAAACUUUCCGGCUUUCCGGCUAGAUGAGAACCCAAGACAGAACUUUCCGGCUUUCCGGCUUGAGGAGAACCCAAGACAGAACUUUCCGGCUUUCCGGCUUGAGGAGAACCCAAGACAAAACUUUCCGGCUUUCCGGCUUGAGGAGAACCCAAGACAGAACUUUCCGGCUUUCCGGCUAGAUGAGAACCCAAGACAGAACUUUCCGGCUUUCUGGCUUGAGGAGAACCCAAGACAAAACUUUCCGGCUUUCCGGCUUGAUGAGAACCCAAGACAAAACUUGCCGGCUUUCCGGCUUGAGGAGAACCCAAGACAAAACUUUCCGGCUUUCCGGCUAGAUGAGAACCCAAGACAGAACUUUCCGGCUUUCCGGCUCGAGGAGAACCCAAGACAACAAAACGAUUAUUCACCGAUUACGAACUGGAAAUCUGACUAGGAUGUCAUGCCCAUAGGACAUCUACUUUCUUUCCCCCAUCACUAAAACCUGUUGGCUGUUUCUCUCUUACACGUUACCAACUUUAUUCACUAAUUAUAUAAUUAUAUCUUGCA